GUAUUCCUGAAGUGUGCGCCAGCUUGUUGUUUUUACCCACAUCACACUAAUCGGAGCCCGGGUCGGGUAGUGGCUGCCGUGCCUCCCUUGAGAGGAAGGCAAAAGCUAUUCGCAGGGCACCACCCUGCUUAACAUAGCGGGUGAAAAAACAGAAGCAACGGCACUUUGGGGUAUC
rnacentral:other from 1 species